rnacentral:rRNA from 1 species
GAGCGGGUAGCACAGAGAGCUUGCUCUCGGGUGACGAGCGGCGGACGGGUGAGUAAUGUCUGGGAAACUGCCUGAUGGAGGGGGAUAACUACUGGAAACGGUAGCUAAUACCGCAUAAUGUCGCAAGACCAAAGUGGGGGACCUUCGGGCCUCAUGCCAUCAGAUGUGCCCAGAUGGGAUUAGCUAGUAGGUGGGGUAAUGGCUCACCUAGGCGACGAUCCCUAGCUGGUCUGAGAGGAUGACCAGCCACACUGGAACUGAGACACGGUCCAGACUCCUACGGGAGGCAGCAGUGGGGAAUAUUGCACAAUGGGCGCAAGCCUGAUGCAGCCAUGCCGCGUGUGUGAAGAAGGCCUUCGGGUUGUAAAGCACUUUCAGCGGGGAGGAAGGCGAUAAGGUUAAUAACCUUGUCGAUUGACGUUACCCGCAGAAGAAGCACCGGCUAACUCCGUGCCAGCAGCCGCGGUAAUACGGAGGGUGCAAGCGUUAAUCGGAAUUACUGGGCGUAAAGCGCACGCAGGCGGUCUGUCAAGUCGGAUGUGAAAUCCCCGGGCUCAACCUGGGAACUGCAUUCGAAACUGGCAGGCUAGAGUCUUGUAGAGGGGGGUAGAAUUCCAGGUGUAGCGGUGAAAUGCGUAGAGAUCUGGAGGAAUACCGGUGGCGAAGGCGGCCCCCUGGACAAAGACUGACGCUCAGGUGCGAAAGCGUGG